ensembl:lncRNA
GAAUCAGCUAUAUGUAUACCAUAUCCCCUCCCUCUCAGACCUCCCUCCCACCACCUCCCCCCAUCCCACCCAUCUAGGUCAUCACAGAACACCGAGCUGAGCUUCCUGUGUUUUAUAGCAUGUUCCCACUAGCCAUCUAUUGUACACAUGGUAGCGUAUAUAUGUCAGUCCUAAUCUCCUAAUUUGUCCUACCCUCCCCUUCCCUGUCCUGUGUCCACAUGUCCGUUCUCUACGUCUGCGUCUCUAUUUCUGCCCUGCAAAUAGGUUCAUCUGUACCAUUUUUCUAGAUUCCACAUGUGUGUGUUAAUAUACGAUAUUUGUUUUUCUUUUUCUGGCUUACUUCACUCUGUAUGACAGACUCUGGGUCCAUCCACAUCUCUACAAAUGACCCAAUUUUGUUCCUUUUUAUGGCUGAGUAAUAUUCCAUUGUAUAUAUGUACCACAUCUUUAUCAAGAAUAUUUUAAUGAUUUUUAUAUUGAAAUACUGAAGUAAUUUUUUGAUGUAUUACUUAUAAAAUAUUUAAUUAAAAUGAAUUUCAUCUGUUUUUUACUACUUACUGUGACUACUGGAUAAUUUAAGAUUACGUAUGUGGCUUGUAUUAUAUUGCUAUUAGUCAGUGAGACUGUAGAUAAUUUUCCCAUUCACUGACAGAUCUUGAAGAACUGAACCUCGUUAUAUAGGUUUUUAUAAAGCUUUCUGGCCCAGGGAAGAAUUCUGUUUUUGUUUUGAAAACUUCUGACCUAAGAUCAAAUGAUCCUUCAUUCUGUAAGUCUCUUUGAAGUAUCCCAAGAAGAGAUUAUUACCAGACGUUCCUUUAUGAAAUCAUGCUUUAGGCAUAGAAAGAUGAAAAAUCUAGAUGUUUCUAACUGUAUCAUUAAUAAAUUAUUUUACCUAUUUGAAUUGAUAACUAUUCUGUCUUUAAAAUAUAUCAGUAUCUUCCUUUCUAAAACAUCUGAGCAUUGAAUAUCGAUCUCCUUGGAUGAUCUUCUACUUUAUAGAUUGGAACACUGUUUUUAGGUUAGGCUCUCUGCUUUUGGUUCUUUUAGUGCUUUGGGGGAAAGAAUUUCAGUAUUAACUAUCUAAUUGGUUUUUACCUUUCUGACAAAAGUCCUUGAUUCUUGAGCUUAAAUGGCAGACAGUAGGACAUUGAACUUGGUGGCUUCGUUUUUUGAACAGAUACUGAAAUACUGAACCCUCUACAGCCCUAAUAAAAUCUAGAAAAGGGUAGUAGUAAGUCAUGUCUCAAGAAGGCAGUAUACACGAGGGUCACUUCAAGUACAAUUUUAAGAAAUAUUCUUAUAGCCGUUUAUAUGAAACAUUAGCAUAGUUUCUGAUCUGCACAUCAAGCAUCAUUGCCUGCAUCUGCCAUCUUCGAGGAAGUCUCAUUUUAAGUUCAGUCCUCUGUAGCCAUCCUCACUUUGGUUUUCUUCUUUUAGAAUCUCAGUUAAGCAUCUAGUAAUGACUACCACAGGUUAGUAUAAUGCUUUUUAGUUUAAAAAGACUUACACAGGUCUUCCCUGGUGGCGCAGUGGUUGAGAGUCCGCCUGUCGAUGCAGGGGACACGGGUUCGUGCCCCGGUGUGGGAGGAUCCCACAUGCUGCGGAGCGGCUGGGCCCGUGAGCCGUGGCCGCUGAGCCUGCGUGUCCGGAGCCUGUGCUCCACAACGGGAGAGGCAAUGGCAGUGAGAGGCCCGCGUACCAC